UCCUCCCGUUGCGUACCUGCGACCGAUGACUGCGUGCACGAAAACCACUCGGAACGGCAGCGACGGUGACUGCAAAGCACGAAUGGCGGGGUACGACGGCGCGCGACUCCUCGACAGAAGCUGCCGACGGGAUGUCGGGGCGAAAAUCACAGGGAGUAUCAGGACUGCUGAGUGCUGACUCUCUCUAUUUUUCGCCCGGUGGUAAGCCCCUCGGUAGCAGCCGAUUCCGAAGCACCAAUAGCAGCUCUUUGCGGUCGUCCAGUGUUUUUUGGUCACCGUUGACGUCGCCACAGAGUCGUCUUCAGCACCACACAUCAUCGUAGCGCACAACAUCGCGCACUAGUCGCUCCCCGUUAAUCGUCUCGUCGCCCGCGAGCUAACUAGACAACUAGUCGCCGCGACAGGUUGCGCCUUGGAAACCGUACCUUAACGCGCCAAACGCUGCACUCGUCCGCCCACGGGUUACCCUUAAAACG